rnacentral:misc_RNA from 1 species
UUUCUAGCAUUUUUUUCCUUGGGUUUGUUCUCUCUUGGACAAUACUUCGCAUCAUCUACUUUCCUUUCUGGGUACUGUGGAGUACAAGCUAUGAAGUCCUUUUGACCUUGGGAGAAGCACAUGGUGGAUGGACCUCUAUAUUAUUAUCUCUUUAACACACUUCUAUUCUCCUUGGUCGUAUUCAAUGUAUAUUGGUGGUCUUUGAUGGUUGGCAUGGUUGUGGAACAAAUCAAGGCAAGAGGCCGAGUCAGCAAAGAUGUUCGAUCAGAUUCUGAAGGUGAAGAGGAGCAUGAUGAUUGACCAUCAAAUAGACAAGUACCUAAUAACAGCUCAUGCCAAUGUAAUAUCAAAACAGAGAAUUACAGCUUCGCCACUUUGAUACAAGUAUUUUGCUCAAAUCUUCCAUGUUUUCUCUGUUAUCAUUGAUGUAUGUUGUCUUGUUCUCAUGCAGAUAGACCCUCACGAAAACAUGUUCAACUAUCUUCAUGCUUUUAUUUCCAUGUGUGAGCUGGUAUAUUGUAAGUUACUAUUGAUGAUAACAAACUAUGUUGAUUAAAGGGUGUUUGUGCAUGAUAG